AUUGCUUCUUGGUCUUUUGGCUAAGAUCAAGUGUAGUAUUUGUUCUUAUCAAUUUAAAAUGGAACCCUAGUAUAUUUUGGUUGAAAUACAGACAGGUACACCCACUCUGGAAAGCAGCAUAGAAUUUCCUUGAAAAACUAAGAAUGGAACUUCCUUUUGGUCAGGCAAUUCCACUGCUGGGAUUAUACUGU